GACGAACGCUGGUGGCGUGCUUAACACAUGCAAGUCGAACGGAAAGGCCCUGCUUUUGUGGGGUGCUCGAGUGGCGAACGGGUGAGUAACACGUGAGUAACCUGCCCUUGACUUUGGGAUAACUUCAGGAAACUGGGGCUAAUACCGGAUAGGAGCUCCUGCUGCAUGGUGGGGGUUGGAAAGUUUCGGCGGUUGGGGAUGGACUCGCGGCUUAUCAGCUUGUUGGUGGGGUAGUGGCUUACCAAGGCUUUGACGGGUAGCCGGCCUGAGAGGGUGACCGGCCACAUUGGGACUGAGAUACGGCCCAGACUCCUACGGGAGGCAGCAGUGGGGAAUAUUGCACAAUGGGCGGAAGCCUGAUGCAGCAACGCCGCGUGCGGGAUGACGGUCUUCGGGUUGUAAACCGCUUUCGCCUGUGACGAAGCGUGAGUGACGGUAAUGGGUAAAGAAGCACCGGCUAACUACGUG
rnacentral:rRNA from 1 species